AAGUUUAUGAACCAAAUAUAGAAGACUAUGAAGAAGACUUUGAAGACGAACCUAUAGAAUUAGAUUUUGUCCAAAAUGAUUUCCAAAGGGAGAUUAUUGAUCUAAGUACAACCAAGUCAUUUCACAUCACUACUGUGGAAGAGAUAGUGACAGAUAUUGAGAGUCAGUCACCUGAAUUGGCACUUGUAGCUAAAGAUACCCAUGUGGAGUCCAAUCUUGAACA
rnacentral:lncRNA from 1 species